rnacentral:rRNA from 1 species
ACGCAGAAGGGUAGCCGGCCGCGGAGGUGGUCUUCCGUGGUCAAGCACGCAGGGCGUGGGACAGGCAAAUCCGUCCCGCAUGGGUCCGAGGUGCGAUGAUGGGGGCCUUAUGGCCCGAUAUCCGGUGAUCCCGGCUGCCGAGAAAAGCUUCGGCGUCAGGCUCAAAGCCGCCCGUACCCCAAACCGACACUGGUGGUCAGGUAGAGAAUACCAAAGCGAUCGAGCGAAUCCUGGUCAAGGAACUCGGCAAAUCACUCCCGUUCCUUCGGUUUAAGGGAGACCCCCGAUGGUGAACACACUUGCUGUGGGAGCUUUUGGGGGUGGCACAGACCAGGGGGUAGCGACUGUUUACCAAAAACACAGGUGCAUGCGAAGGCGCAAGCCGCUGUAUAUGCACUGACGCCUGCCCGGUGCCGGAAGGUUAAGAGGAUCCGUCAGCCUUCGGGUGAAGCGGUGAAUUCAAGCCCCGGUAAACGGCGGUGGUAACAAUAACCAUCCUAAGGUAGCGAAAUUCCUUGUCGGGUAAGUUCCGACCUGCACGAAUGGCGUAACGACUUCCCCACUGUCUCGACCAGGAGCUCGGCGAAAUUGCAGUACGAGUAAAGAUGCUCGUUAAGCGCAGAAGGACGAAAAGACCCCGGGACCUUUACUAUACCUUGGUAUUGGCAUUCGGUGUGGAUUGUGUAGCAUAGGCGGGAGGCCGAGAGGCGCGGUCGCCAGAUCGCGCGGAGCCGUAAGGUGAAAUACCGCUCUGUUCGCAUUGGAUGUCUAACCUCGAACAGUCAUCCUGUUCUGGGACAGUGCCUGGCGGGUAGUUUAACUGGGGCGGUUGCCUCCCAAAGAGUAACGGAGGCGCCCAAAGGUCCGCUCAGCCCGGUUGGCAAUCGGGUGGCGAGUGCAAGUGCACAAGCGGGCUUGACUGCGAGGACGACGGUCCGAGCAGGGACGAAAGUCGGGACUAGUGAUCCGGUGCCGGUGUACGGACGCGGCAUCGCUCAACGGAUAAAAGGUACCCCGGGGAUAACAGGCUGAUCAUUCCCAAGAGUCCAUAUCGACGGGAUGGUUUGGCACCUCGAUGUCGGCUCGUCGCAUCCUGGGGCUGGAGCAGGUCCCAAGGGUUCGGCUGUUCGCCGAUUAAAGCGGCACGCGAGCUGGGUUCAGAACGUCGUGAGACAGUUUGGUCUCUAUCCUCUGCGCUCGUUGGAAUGCUGAGGAGGCCUGCCCAUAGUACGAGAGGACCUGGGUGGACGAACCUCUGGUAUGCCGGUUGUCACGCCAGUGGCACGGCCGGUUGGCUACGUUCGGAAGGGAUAACCGCUGAAAGCAUCUAAGCGGGAAGCCUGCUCCAAGAUAAGCAUUCCGUGGAACCUUCGAGUUCCUGUAGUCCCCAUGCAGAACACGUGGUCGAUAGGCCGGACGUGGAAGCCCCGCGAGGGGUGGAGCCGACCGGUACUAACGAACG